GAUUUGUCAUCUUUAGUUUGUGUGAUGUCAAUCUCAAAUGUUUUAAAAAUUCCAUUGAAACUCUUUUAUCCUACUACAGGAGAUGCAUGUUUAGAAUAUUUAUUUAGAAGUACAUUGUACCCACAGACUUUUAAGAAAUUUAACGAACCCUAUCAAAUAAUUUACUUAUUGCUUUACAAUGUUUAAUCAAAGAAAGAAAUUCCAGACAAUCUUACACAUGGGAAAAAUACAUUAUUUCAAGCCUAAUCAUUUUGUCCCUCUAGUAUCUAUUAUAAGCACUCAGCCAGAGUUUCGAAAUAUUUUAGUUCGUACCCA